rnacentral:rRNA from 1 species
UACGGAGGAUGCGAGCGUUAUCCGGAUUUAUUGGGUUUAAAGGGUGCGUAGGCGGACGCUUAAGUCAGCGGUAAAAUUGCGGGGCUCAACCUCGUCGAGCCGUUGAAACUGGGUGCCUUGAGUGGGCGAGAAGUACGCGGAAUGCGUGGUGUAGCGGUGAAAUGCAUAGAUAUCACGCAGAACUCCGAUUGCGAAGGCAGCGUACCGGCGCCCAACUGACGCUGAAGCACGAAGGCGUGGGUGUCGAACAGG